CCUACGGGGGGCAGCAGUGGGGAAUAUUGCACAAUGGGGGAAACCCUGAUGCAGCGACGCCGCGUGAGCGAUGAAGUAUUUCGGUAUGUAAAGCUCUAUCAGCAGGGAAGAAAAUGACGGUACCUGACUAAGAAGCCCCGGCGAACUACGUGCCAGCAGCCGCGGUAAUACGUAGGGGGCAAGCGUUAUCCGGAUUUACUGGGUGUAAAGGGAGCGUAGACGGCUUUGCAAGCCAGAUGUGAAAGCCCGGGGCUCAACCCCGGGAUUGCAUUUGGAACUGUGUGGCUGGAGUGUCGGAGAGGCAGGCGGAAUUCCUAGUGUAGCGGUGAAAUGCGUAGAUAUUAGGAAGAACCCCGAUUGCGAAGGCAGCAUACCGGGGCACAACUGACGCUCAGGCACGAAAGCGUGGGUAUCGAACAGGAUUAGAUACCCCAGUAGUC
rnacentral:rRNA from 1 species